GCGGCCGCCGGCAUCUGCCCAACUCGCUCGCGCUUUCCGCCCAGGGUUCUGAAAAAUAGAAGAAAAAAGGACAGGCUAGAGUGCAGUGGCGCCAUCUCAGCUAACUGCAACCUCUGCCUCCCAGGUUCAAGCGAUUCUCCUGCCUCAACCUCCCGAGUAGCUGGGAAUACAGCUGCACGCUUCCAUUCCCAGCCCCAGCCAGAGAAGAGGAGCCAACUCCUCACGGCAGAUCCCUUGAUAGAGGAGGAUGAACCGAAUCCAUGACCCUCCAGACCCGGGAAGCGACGCACCCUAGGCCUUGGCACCGCAAAGCCCGUGCUGAGCGCACGGACGGGUGCUGCCCGGGACUCGGCCAGGAGGGCGCCCAUGCCAACGCCUCUUGCAGGAUUAGUGCCUUCGGUUGGCAAAAGGCGGAUAAAGGAAGAGCGAAACCACAUCAGGAAGCUAAGGGUGGUCCACGCUCCCUGUCCUUUUACUUCCCGCGCCAAAGGCACAGUGAGGCUUGCUUAGAAAAGUCCAUCCCGCGAUUGGGCGCAGUGGCUCAUGCCUGUAAUCCCAGCACUUUGGGAGGCCGAGACGGGAGGAUCGCUUGAGCCCAGGAGUGCAAGACCAGACUGGGCAACAUGGCGAAACCCUGUCUCUUCGAAAAAAAAAAAAAAAAAAAAA
rnacentral:lncRNA from 10 species